AGAUAGUGACACUGGAAAUUUGGGGGAAGGGUACACGGGAGUUAAAGGACGUGGCUCGGGAUCCAAGGGUGCUUCUGUUGGGAGCGGAAGGAACCUCAACAGAACCAGUAGGGGGUCGUGGUGGUCGGUUCAAAGUUGCUGGCAAUUCUCGGGUCCCUUUAGUAGAUGCGAUGAAUCCCAUGGCCGAACUGAUUUGUGACCAAAUUGGAUCGAGCUUUGGUACUGAUGCAGCAAACACUGUUAGUGAUAGCCGUAAGGAUCUAGAAAACCCCUAGCAGUAAAGAUCAAGAACAAAAGAAAACAGAAUUAGAACGGGGGAAGUCGAAAGUGGUCGAGUAGUCGAUUCCAUUCGCUUGUCUUCGUCCGAGAUUUUUGGAAGCUAGUUACGAGCUCGGGGAUCUUCAAGGAAGUCCGUCACACUAUCGACCUCUAUCUCGGUAUUUUGAAAGCUCGAAAUUUUGAACAUAUGGCAUGUAUAGGCUAGCAUUUAUUUUGGUUGGUCUUGAAAAUUGUAGAUAUUUAGCCAUGCGAAAAUGGCUUGGUUUAAUGCUAAUAUGCUAAUGUUUAAGAAAUUUUGGAACAUGGAAUAUUUGUUUGGAAUACUUAGUAUAUGAAUUUGGUAUGAUGUAAA